CUAAGCCUAAAGGGGGUACCCGACCCUCUUCUCACUUUGACUCAAAAUAAGGAAAGGGGAUAAAUCCCUAAAUCCUUCUCCUUCUUCAAUGGUGGCAACGGCGACGUGAGGCAGCAACGGCGGCUUGCAAGGUCAUCAAUGGCGAUGGUGUUGCUUCAAGGCCAUCAUCCCCUUUCAUCUUCUCUGUUUCCUUCACGAUCAAAGGGAUAGGGAUCCCUAACUCCCUUUUUCUCAUUCUCUCCAGCGAUAGCUCCGAGUUGGUGGAGGAAGACGAUAGUAUCAAUGGAGGUAAAGACCGCGGUAGGAACCACCGAUUGUCAUGGUAGUUGUAACCCCUUGGCCUCCUGUCUUCAAACAGUGUAGCAAAGCCAUCACUUUGCAUUCUUUAGGAUUCAUUUGGAACCAUUCUUGAAGCUUCUUCCGAUCCUAUAUCAAGCUCUCCAGCUUAUACUUUGUGAUGAUAAUAGGAGUCAUGGCAAACAAUGGUCUUUUAUUUGGUUGAAUGAAACUUGUUGGAGUAGGACUGCAUUGGUGCAUUCAAUACAACAAUAUACCCACAUAUCACAAGGACAAUCGUAUCCUAUACCCACAUAACCGUUUGUAGUGUUGUGUUUUUGAUAUAGUGCACUCAAUGUUUAUCAUAAAUUUAAUCUAAACUUACCACCUUUCUCUUUGUUUGGUUGCUAAUCUGAAUUGUAUUAACUAUACAAAUGGUAUCCUUUAGUCUCCCAAAACCAUGGCUUGA